AAAGGGGAAAAAAUAAUAAAUAUUGCUCUCAGAGUCCACCCCCUCAAUUUUGGGGUAAUUCGUUGCCUAUUCAGGAAUUCCACAGAUGAAGGUACAUCAAGUUGCCUGUGGAGAUUUAAUCUGCUGCUCUUGAGGCUGCUGGGAAAGAUUUCCCUUUCUCUUCUUUGUUCGCACAGCUCCUGGGGUUCAGCUUUGGAUUUGGCCCUAUCUCUGCAUGUAGGUAGCUUGAGGGCAUCUGUUCUUCCCUCAGACAAGACCAGGAUGGGGUUAAAGGAGCAGCUGAUUAGGGGUCUCUGGCUCCCUCAGGCUGCGGGGAGAGAGGGGAAUGGAAUGCGAGGCGAGCCUGUGGCGGUAGAAACAGGCGUGACAUUGCAACAGCCUGAGGCAUGCCGUGUGUUCCCCUGGGGAAGUUGUCCCUGGA